GCUCCCAUCGUCUAUCUGGUCUAGGAUUCCUGACUUUCAAUCAGGGGAACAGGGUUCGAAUCCCUGUGGGAGUA
rnacentral:tRNA from 1 species